rnacentral:rRNA from 1 species
AGCGAACGCUGGCGGCAGGCCUAAUACAUGCAAGUCGAGCGCACCUUCGGGUGAGCGGCGGACGGGUGAGUAACGCGUGGGAACGUGCCCUUUGGUACGGGAUAACUGAGGGAAACUUCAGCUAAUACCGUAUGUGCCCUACGGGGGAAAGAUUUAUCGCCAUUGGAGCGGCCCGCGUUGGAUUAGGUAGUUGGUGAGGUAAAGGCUCACCAAGCCUACGAUCCAUAGCUGGUCUGAGAGGAUGAUCAGCCACACUGGGACUGAGACACGGCCCAGACUCCUACGGGAGGCAGCAGUAGGGAAUCUUGCGCAAUGGGCGAAAGCCUGACGCAGCCAUGCCGCGUGUAUGAUGAAGGUCUUAGGAUUGUAAAAUACUUUCACCGGGGAAGAUAGUGACGGUACCCGGAGAAGAAGCCCCGGCUAACUUCGUGCCAGCCGCCGCCGUAAUAC